UCGGGAAUUUUGGGCAAUGGGCGCAAGCCUGAACCAGCCAUGCCGCGUGCAGGAAGACGGUCCUAUGGAUUGUAAACUGCUUUUUAUUUGGGAAUAAACCUCCUCACGUGUAGGGAGCUGAAGGUACCAAAUGAAUAAGCACCGGCUAACUCCGUGCCAGCAGCCGCGGUAAUACGGAGGGUGCAAGCGUUAUCCGGAAUCAUUGGGUUUAAAGGGUCCGCAGGCGGAUUUAUAAGUCAGUGGUGAAAGCCUACAGCUUAACUGUAGAACUGCCAUUGAAACUGUAAGUCUUGAAUUCGGUCGAAGUGGGCGGAAUAUGACAUGUAGCGGUGAAAUGCUUAGAUAUGUCAUAGAACACCGAUAGCGAAGGCAGCUCACUAGGCCUGGAUUGACGCUCAGGGACGAAAGCGUGGGGAGCAAACAGGAUUAGAUACCCUUGUAGUCCCUGAGCGGGCUGGCAAGGCGCAU
rnacentral:rRNA from 1 species